GAUGAACGCUGGCGGCGUGCCUAAUACAUGCAAGUCGAGCGAACAGACGAGGAGCUUGCUCCUCUGACGUUAGCGGCGGACGGGUGAGUAACACGUGGAUAACCUACCUAUAAGACUGGGAUAACUUCGGGAAACCGGAGCUAAUACCGGAUAAUAUAUUGAACCGCAUGGUUCAAUAGUGAAAGACGGUUUUGCUGUCACUUAUAGAUGGAUCCGCGCCGCAUUAGCUAGUUGGUAAGGUAACGGCUUACCAAGGCAACGAUGCGUAGCCGACCUGAGAGGGUGAUCGGCCACACUGGAACUGAGACACGGUCCAGACUCCUACGGGAGGCAGCAGUAGGGAAUCUUCCGCAAUGGGCGAAAGCCUGACGGAGCAAGGCCGCGUGAGUGAUGAAGGUCUUCGGAUCGUAAAACUCUGUUAUUAGGGAAGAACAAAUGUGUAAGUAACUAUGCACGUCUUGACGGUACCUAAUCAGAAAGCCACGGCUAACUACGUG
rnacentral:rRNA from 1 species